GAGAUGACUUCAGUGGUUUCAGUGCACAGGAGGAGGAAGAUAGUGACCAAUGACUUUCUUGUGGUUUUACCACAUUGCGGCCUGCCUGGUCCUGGAGCUGAAGGAUCAGACGCUACCUCUGGGCUGUACCUUCUCCUUCGAGCAGAAAGACAUCGACAAGAGUAUCCUGAUCCCUUGGACCAAAGGCUUUCUUUAACUGUUCAGGAGUGGACAUGGUCAGGCUACUGAGUGAAGCCAUCCACAGCAGAGAGUUGCAAUGGUGAAUGACACUGUGGGUACCAUGAUGAGUUGUGGAUACAGGGACCAGAGUUGUGAGAUUCACAUGAUCAUUGGUAGGUAGUACCUAUCUGUACUGCAGCCACACUACUGCAAAUAUAGCAUUUGAGGAAAGAACACAAAGGCAUAAGAUGCCCCAUUUAGCCUAGCAAGUGAAGGAGAGGGUGACUGUAGUAACCAUAUAUAAGUCAUAUUAUCAUGUUAUUACAAAUUGCUUGCCACAAUGUUAGGGAUGUCAAGGAUAACCAUGGAGUCCUAUCUUGAAACAUAUCAUGUAGUUUAGUGCCAUUUCUAGCACUUCCACAAUGCAAUGGCUCCCUCUGCAGGAGAUGAUAGCAAAGGGGUUUUGUUUGUGUUUUUGUGUGUGCAUGCAAUAUGUUGCAUUCAUUACUGUGUAAGAUUCUCUGCCUCCCCGGGGACAGGGACAAACGCAUGUUACGUGGAUUAGAUAAAUAACGUGAAGAGAGUGGGCGGGGAGGAUGUAUGUAUUUGCAGGUAGCCUGGCAGGGAGGAGCAUUGGGUCAGUAACUGAAAGGUGACCGACAAGGGUUGGGGCGUGUUGUUGACGAUGGGACAUCCAAACUGAGUUUGACCUGAUGGUGGAUCGAGUUUUACUCAACCCAGGUGUGAAUGCGUAUGUGUUUCUACACCAAAUUAAUGAGCAGUCAAAAGUACAUAGCUGAAGUACAUAAAAAUACAUAACUUCUAUGUUUGACUCUCUUGACUUUCAUUUGCCGAAUACAGGCCAAACCUCAUUCACCCUGGUCAAUUUAUCUCUGUACUUAACUCUGUUGUUUUGUGACUUUGUCCAGGACAGCUUUGAGACCAGAUUCAUCUCUGGAGGUAGAGGAGUAAGUGACUGACACACCAUGCUCUUAUGUGUCAUCUCUAGUUACACAGAUCCUAAAUAUAGCAGUUAUUUUUUUUAAAUCAAUGUGCUACAUUAUACAGAAGCUACUACUGAGUAAGAUUGAGAGAAAUGAACGCAACUGUCUUUACAACUAUAUAUUAUAAAAUUGACUAGAAAUGGAAGGGCUGGGAAUUGCCAGUUACAUCAUGAUACGAUAUUAUCACAAUACUUAGGUGCCGAUAUGAUGUAUUGCAAUUCGAUACUGGGAUUUUUUGGCAAUUUAACGUUCUAAACAUUGCUCACCAUAUGUCUGCUGCAAAGGGACAUGAGAAAAUGAGUUUUGAUCAGUCAUAGAAAUAUUGUUAGUGCUGAAAACAAAUGAGCUCCCUUAUUAAAAAGAAGGUUGAAGAACUAGUUAUGAAGGAAAAAUACUGGAAUUUUGGUGCAGGUACAGACAACUAGCGCAAAAACUAUAUUUUGAUAAUGUCGAUACGAUAUAUCGUAAAAAAUAUGUUCACCUCGGAUAGAAAUGUUAUGAAAUGGUCCACAGGGUUAUUUCAGUUUAAGUGGAAAGUUACAGAUAAAUCCUGCUUUUUAUAUUCUUGUCACUUGAUUGAAUGGAGAAUAUCCUCUUGUGCUGCCAUAAUAACAAUGUGGAUUUCCUGCCUUUGUUUCCUCAGCAUAUUCACAAGUCACUGAAUCUCAGUAAUAUGUCGGUCUAACCACUAUCCCAAAGUUAAUUUACACCCCUCCCUUAACCUUAUCCCUGCCUUUCCUCGCUGUUUGUCUAAAUGCAGGAAUUUCACAUGAUGGAAUAUUAUUUCAUAGAAUAGUUAUUUUCCAAUUGUAUCUCUCAUUCACCCCUUUGCACUGUCAGGAGGACCAAUGUCAGUAUCAGGUGUGCAGGUAGCCAUACUUUGAUUUGACUGUCUCCCUGUCUCUCUCAACAGUGUUAUCCCCCCGUUUCUCUUCCCUUCAGCAUCAGUAAGCAGCUCCAGGAGACCGUAAGAAUCCUGGUCCCUAAGUGUGACAUCACUUUCCUCGUCUCGGAGGAUGGCAGUGGAAAAGGGCACUGCCAUGUUAAUGGCGGUGGCACAGAAGCUGGCCAUAUCGCCCCGACUGUUAGAGGACAGCAGAGGAGGAUGAGGAAGAUGGAAAUGAAUAUGUUAGGUCAGAGGAGGCAUACUGGAAAGACUACUUGAAAUGCAGCAGCGUAAAAAUGUCCCCCUCAAAUGCUUUUGUUGUACGGUACAUGCUAAACAGCUCACUCACUUUCUCCUACUGUAUGGAAAUGAAUUAAUUCAUUGAGGUUAACUUUUUUACAGUAGGCUAUUUUUUUGUUGUACAUGGUUAACUUUCAGUGAGGAAAUUCCCUUUUUUCUUAAACUUCUGUGUGAAAUAUGUAUUAUGUAUAACAAAUGUUACAUUAUUUUAUACUAGAAUGAAAACUUGUAAUGGGCAAACUCACUGUAUUGCUAGUAUAUUUAGAGACCAGAUAUUUGAUACUUGGACAUCACUGCAGCUAUAUUUGAAUGGCAGCUUGGUAAUACAAUUAGUCUUGAAGUAAAAAUCUAUGAAUUUCAUGGUCAAGCCAAGUUCCACAGAAUGGAAAGAGACACAUGCUCACGCCCCCUGUUGGAGAAACUGUACAAAGGAACAUCAGGUCAUUAAAUCAAUGUUUUCCGCAAAGUUAUACAACUUUAGAAUAUUCAGUCACUCUUAAACAACAGACACCUUUCUGAACACGUGUUAUGUUAAUCAAAACUUACUGCAAAUAAAGAUGGCUAGCAUUUGAUAUUGA